AACAGGAUUAGAUACCCUGGUAGUCCACGCCGUAAACGAUGUCUACUAGUCGUUGGGUCCCUUGAGGACUUAGUGACGCAGCUAACGCAAUAAGUAGACCGCCUGGGGAGUACAGCCGCAAGGUUAAAACUCAAAUGAAUUGGCGGGGGCCCGCACAAGCGGUGGAGCAUGUGGUUUAAUUCGAUGCAACGCGAAGAACCUUACCUGGUCUUGACAUAUCUAGAAUCCUGCAGAGAUGCGGGAGUGCCUUCGGGAAUUAGAAUACAGGUGCUGCAUGGCUGUCGUCAGCUCGUGUCGUGAGAUGUUGGGUUAAGUCCCGCAACGAGCGCAACCCUUGUCCUUAGUUACCAGCGGGUUAAGCCGGGAACUCUAAGGAUACUGCCAGUGACAAACUGGAGGAAGGCGGGGACGACGUCAAGUCAUCAUGGCCCUUACGACCAGGGCUACACACGUGCUACAAUGGUAGGUACAGAGGGCAGCUACACAGCGAUGUGAUGCGAAUCUCAAAAAGCCUAUCGUAGUCCAGAUUGGAGUCUGCAACUCGACUCCAUGAAGUAGGAAUCGCUAGUAAUCGCGGAUCAGAAUGCCGCGGUGAAUACGUUCCCGGGCCUUGUACACACCGCCCGUCACACCAUGGGAGUUGAUUGCACCAGAAGUGGAUAGCCUAACCGUAAGGAAGGCGUUCACCACGGUGUGGUUGAUGACUGGGGUGAAGUCGUAACAAGGUAACC
rnacentral:rRNA from 1 species